UAUUUUUGGGGUCGAUUUCAACACUUAAUACACAAAUAUACACACUAGUAAGGCAUCCUCCCCCUUUCCAUCAAUUUAACACAUGCAUUGCUCAUUAACAUGCAAAGUUACAUUCGGCCUUAGCACACAACUUGCUAGCCGAUUCUUCUCCAUUUAGCAACCAAUGCACAUAUGUGCUCACACAAAAAUGCUAAAAAGGAGGUUCAAGAAUCAUCAAGUCAUC
rnacentral:lncRNA from 1 species